ACGAACGCUGGCGGCGUGCUUCACACCUGCCAGUCGAACGGAAAGGCCUGCUUUUGUGGGGUGCUCGAGUGGCGAACGGGUGAGUAACACGUGAGUAACCUGCCCUUGACUUUGGGAUAACUUCAGGAAACUGGGGCUAAUACCGGAUAGGAGCUCCUGCUGCAUGGUGGGGGUUGGAAAGUUUCGGCGGUUGGGGAUGGACUCGCGGCUUAUCAGCUUGUUGGUGGGGUAGUGGCUUACCAAGGCUUUGACGGGUAGCCGGCCUGAGAGGGUGACCGGCCACAUUGGGACUGAGAUACGGCCCAGACUCCUACGGGAGGCAGCAGUGGGGAAUAUUGCACAAUGGGCGGAAGCCUGAUGCAGCAACGCCGCGUGCGGGAUGACGGCCUUCGGGUUGUAAACCGCUUUCGCCUGUGACGAAGCGUGAGUGACGGUAAUGGGUAAAGAAGCACCGGCUAACUACGUG
rnacentral:rRNA from 1 species